rnacentral:rRNA from 1 species
UACGGAGGGAGCUAGCGUUGUUCGGAAUUACUGGGCGUAAAGCGCGCGUAGGCGGUCUAUCAAGUCAGGGGUGAAAUCCCGGGGCUCAACCCCGGAACUGCCCUUGAAACUGGAAGACUAGAAUCCUGGAGAGGCGAGUGGAAUUCCGAGUGUAGAGGUGAAAUUCGUAGAUAUUCGGAAGAACACCAGUGGCGAAGGCGACUCGCUGGACAGGUAUUGACGCUGAGGUGCGAAAGCGUGGGGAGCAAAC